rnacentral:rRNA from 1 species
UACGUAGGGGGCAAGCGUUGUCCGGAAUUAUUGGGCGUAAAGAGCUCGUAGGCGGUCUGUCGCGUCGGCUGUGAAAACCCGGGGCUCAACCCCGGGCCUGCAGUCGAUACGGGCAGACUAGAGUGCGGUAGGGGAGACUGGAAUUCCUGGUGUAGCGGUGAAAUGCGCAGAUAUCAGGAGGAACACCGGUGGCGAAGGCGGGUCUCUGGGCCAUUACUGACACUGAGAAGCGAAAGCAUGGGGGAGCGAACAGG